CAAACCAAAGCUGGCGACCGGCGCACGGGUGAGUAACACGUAUCAACCUGCCUCAUACUCGGGGAUAGCCUUUCGAAAGAAAGAUUAAUAUCCGAUAGCAUAUAUUUCCCGCAUGGGUUUUAUAUUAAAGAAAUUCGGUAUGAGAUGGGGAUGCGUUCCAUUAGUUUGUUGGGGGGGUAACGGCCCACCAAGACUACGAUGGAUAGGGGUUCUGAGAGGAAGGUCCCCCACAUUGGAACUGAGACACGGUCCAA
rnacentral:rRNA from 1 species